GCUAAGACACCUAUAUAUAGCGUGGAUAAAAAUAUGGAACUUAGUUACAUAUUUCCUGUUGUUGAAGUGAGCACGCAUUGUUCUUAAAACCAAACAUAAUGAAGGUUGUGUUAUUCCUCGUUCUUGUUGGCGUUAUUUAUGCCUCGACUGCAAAAAUUAAGUGCUCACCACAUUCGAUUCCGGGUUGCAGGACUGACAACUGCGAUAGACAAUGUAAAGACUUCUUGAAUCCUCACCCUCCUACCUGCCCAGCUGACUCUUGCAGUUCGUGGAACGGAGGAUGUGACUGCGAUACGACCAACGGCUACUGGUACCACCCGGGCAAAGGACAAUGUGUCCCAUCCAGCGAAUGCUCUGAUGCUUAAACCUUAAACUUCCACUACUGUGUCGUUCGAACUAGGCCAGAAAUUAGCCGACUUUUCACCUGCACGACGAUUGUAUUAAUAUCUCAUCUUGACGAUUGAUUCGUCUUUAAUUUCCUGGUCUUAGUUCGUGUUUGAUACAGUGCCUUAAUGUGGACGAAGCAAUGCUGUUUACCGGAUUUAUUAAUAAAAAACUAAGUACUUACGGACAAUAUUUUCACUCUUUUAUUUUUCAAUCUUUGUUAUGGCACUACCCUGGUUCUUCACACAAACAACCUCGUAUUACACAGACACUACACAUUGACGUUAUCGUACACGCGCAUCUGUGUGUGACUUCUGAUGCCAUACGAUUUUAGAUUAAAGUAAAACCGCUGGUGGGCAGAAGAGAGUUGCCUUUCUAUAUAUAAUAUCGCGUUGUGGUAUAGAUUUAAAAGUAAUAAACUGUUUGAAUCCAAAUUACUUUUAUUUUUUAUGUGCAGUGCCUAAGUACCUAAGUACCUACUUACACGUGGCGUCUACAGUUACAUAGAAACGAUUAUAAUCUACUGAAGUCGAAGAUCAAGUCAAGUACUUAACGUUUUUAUUCCCAAUGCAGCCGUCAAUUACAUAUGCUAAUAAGUAUGUUGAAUGAGCAUGUAAAUAGCCGGAUUUUAUGAUGAUAAUUAUUGAUAAUUAUAUUUCUUUUAAUUAUUUAAAAAAUCAACAGUACCUAUGGCGCUUGCCAUACUACAGCUGCAUGUCUAAAAUAUAAUACUCUAAUAUAAUACAUGUGUAUGUAUCCACUUUAGGACUCUGUCGCACUAACAUAUUUGACAUUUAGUGAGACUUACAGUUCAAUUUGUCAAAAAAGUUAAUGUGACAUGGUACCAAAGUGUAUACAUAUUAAUGCUCGUGACCGUACAUUGUCAAUAACAUACGCCAUAUUCAGAAUAUAUAGCGUAGCUUAAAAAAAUACGAAACUUAGUUGAGACUUCCUGUUGGUGGAGUGAGCACAGAUAUCUAGUUACUAAAGCUAAACAUGAUGAAGAUUGUGAUAUUCCUCAUAGUCGUAGGUGUUGUUUAUGCUUCGGCUGAGGUUAAAUGCCCAGAAAAUUCAAUUCCAAGCUGCAGAACUGACAAUUGCGAUAGAAAAUGCUCAGACUUCUUAAAUCCACACGACUUUACAUGCCCACCAGAAAUAUGUAUAGCCGAGGGGGGCCUCCCCGGAUGUGACUGCGAUACGAGCAACGACUUUUGGUAUCACCCGGGCAAAGGAGAAUGUGUUCCUUCCAGCCAGUGUCAUGAUGCUUAAUUGACAAUGUGAUCCUGUGUCGUCCAAAGCUAGGCACAAGGACGCCUUCAAAGCUUUAGCGCGGCACGCGGCGGUAAGUCGCGAUAAAUAUUUUUCGCGACAUGUAUCGCGCGACCUGAACUCUUCACCUGCACGUCAAGGA
rnacentral:lncRNA from 1 species